UGCGUAGGCGGUUUGGUAAGUCUUAUGUGAAAUCUAUGGGCUCAACUCAUAGACUGCAUGAGAAACUGCCGGGCUCGAGUGUGGGAGAGGUGAGUGGAAUUUCCGGUGUAGCGGUGAAAUGCGUAGAUAUCGGAAGGAACACCUGUGGCGAAAGCGGCUCACUGGACCAUAACUGACGCUGAUGCACGAAAGCUAGGGGAGCAAACAGGAUUAGAUACCCUGGUAGUCCUAGCCCUAAACCAUGAUUGCUUGGUGUGACGGGUACCCAAUCCCGCCGUGCCGUAGCUAACGCGUUAAGCAAUCCGCCUGGGGAGUACGGUCGCAAGGCUGAA
rnacentral:rRNA from 1 species